CACGUAGGGGGCAAGCGUUGUCCGGAUUUAUUGGGCGUAAAGAGCUCGUAGGCGGCUUAGUAAGUCGGGUGUGAAACCUCCAGGCUCAACCUGGAGACGCCACCCGAUACUGCUGUGGCUAGAGUCCGGUAGGGGAGCGUGGAAUUCCUGGUGUAGCGGUGAAAUGCGCAGAUAUCAGGAGGAACACCGAUGGCGAAGGCAGGUCUCUGGGCAUUAACUGACGCUGAGGAGCGAAAGCAUGGGGAGCGAACAGG
rnacentral:rRNA from 1 species